GAAGUCAGGCAUAUAUCCCCUUUGCGGACCACGGUGUCGGAUGAAAGCACUAAAGCAGCCAAUAUGACGGCGGUCUCAGCCGACAGAGAGCCGGAGAGGCGGACGAUGUUCAACGUGAGUGAACCCGACUGACAGCGGCUCAGUCCAAUGGAGGAAAAGGAAAAGGCGGCCACUUCCGACAGAGCACGCGGAUAGGGAAUGCCCUGGAGCUGGCUCCUCGUGACGGGCGUUCUGUGGCUCCAAUGAACGGGCAGAGGAGGCUGAGGCUGUCCGCUGGCAGCUACUUGGAAACGUGGAGAGGUGAAGUGAUGCUGAUGGUGUCCCGGCCAGGCCGGACUACUGACUCACUGAUGUCAUUCAGCAGAGAACUCAGGAUCAGCUCCAGAGCAGCAUCACUGAUUUCAGGAAACUCAGGAAAGGAAACUUCAGCAGGGUUGUGGAGUAUUAAAGGUGUCUCGUCAUUCAUCAUAGAAAUGGAUAUUUUGGUUAACACUGUUUUAUCAAAAAUUUAGAGAGAUUGGUUUUACAGCCAAGGAUGUCUUAAGAUGCUUUGGAUAUGUGGCAUUUGGUGUUGCACAUAGAACAUUUAAAAAUACAGAACCAGAUAAAGAGAACGUUUACAUCCAAAUUAAUGUGGAGCAUCAAACCAUUUCCAAGAUGUUGAAAAACCAGCAUGCAGAUCCGUAAUGCGGCUAUUAUAGAUGUGACUGCAGUGCCAGAUUCAUUUUGAUGAAUGAGCUAUAAGUGAGCCCAGACGUGAUGUGGGUAGAUACCAGCUUCCCUUUGAAGCACAAGACAGUCAGCAGGGUGAGGUCUGAUCUCAUGUUGAACAGGAUGGAUAAUCUAAAUUUGAUGCACUGGUUUUCACUACCUGAGGGUGAAGCCCGGAAAAGCAAAGUAGCACCCAGGGACAUUAAAAAGCAGCAAGUUAAGUGACAUUGAUGAUCAGGCAGACACAGCGAGCCGCAUGUCUGAAGAAGUUGAACCAUUUUCUAAAUUAUUCUAUAAUUAAAAAAUUAAGUCAAAUUAACAUAAGGGUUUUCUUUACAUUACAGAAGUUGACUUGUAUAUUAUCGAACUGUAGAUUACUCUGUAUUUAUUUUACAGUCAAACUCAAAUCCACAGAUUGGUUUAGCCAUUUUCAAGCCUUUUAUAUUUGUAAAAAAUUAAAGGCAGUUAAAGAUUUGGGUUAGAGGUUAAAAAGUAAAGAAUUGCUAUAGAGAAGUGCAGAAUACAUGCAGUAUUUGUUUUGGUGUAUCAAUUAAACAGGAUUAAACAGG